GAAUAUUGCUGUUUUGAACUAUAAAUUCAAAACGACAAUGGACCAAAUCAAAACAUAAGCAAGAACAAGAAGGAAAGUUAAACAUUGUUAAGGAAGUACUUUUUAUAUUUGAGUUUUUUGACAGGAACAUGAGAGAAUAAAACAAUUUAUUAAAGUGAGUACUUGGGAUCAAAUUAAUUAUUCGUGGCACAUUUCUUCUAUUUUCUCGUCUGCCUUUGUGGCUAGUUUCUUCUAUUGAUCUUUGCUUUUUCUUUCUUUUGCAGGUCUUGUUUCUUGGAUAUGAUGGAGGAAGACAUGGCGGGUCUUAGUAUUAAAGAUUGGGA
rnacentral:lncRNA from 1 species